CCUACGGGAGGCUGCAGUGAGGGAUAUUGGUCAAUGGGGGAAACCCUAAACCAGCAACGCCGCGUGAGGGAAGACGGUCCUCGGAUCGUAAACCCCUGUCCUCUGUGAAGAUGAUGACGGUAGCUGAGGAGGAAGCCCCGGCUAACUACGUGCCAGCAGCCGCGGUAAUACGUAGGGAGCAAGCGUUGUCCGGAUUUACUGGGUGUAAAGGGUGCGUAGGCGGCUAUGCAAGUCAGGAGUGAAAUCCAUGGGCUUAACCCCUGGACUGCUUUUGGAACUGCGGGGCUGGAGUGGAGUAGAGGUAGGCGGAAUUCCCGGUGUAGCGGUGAAAUGCGUAGAGAUCAGGAGGAACACCAGUGGCGAAGGCGGCCUGCUGGGCUCUAACUGACGCUGAGGAACGAAAGCGUGGGUAGCAAACAGGAUUAGAUACCCUGGUAGUC
rnacentral:rRNA from 1 species